UUACUUGAUAUUCAUCCUUGAA
rnacentral:miRNA from 1 species